UCUUGGUCAAUUUAGAGGAAGUAAAAGUCGUAACAAGGUCUCCGUUGGUGAACCAGCGGAGGGAUCAUUACAGGACUCGCAAGACUCCCGUAAACCACUGUGAACUUACCUACAACCCGUUGCCUCGGCGGGGGGCGCCCGCCGCCCGCCGCCGACGGCCCCUAAACUCUUGUCUCACGCGUUGGCAUCUCCGAGCAAUAUUAUAAACGAGUUAAAACUUUCAACAACGGAUCUCUUGGUUCUGGCAUCGAUGAAGAGCGCAGCGAAAUGCGAUAAGUAAUGUGAAUUGCAGAAUUCAGUGAAUCAUCGAAUCUUUGAACGCACAUUGCGCCCGCCAGCACUCUGGCGGGCAUGCCUGUCCGAGCGUCAUUUCAACCCUCAGGCUCUGCCUGGCGUUGGAGCCCUGCGCACCGCAGGCUCCCAAAGACAGCGGCGGGCGCGCCCCGGAACCGAGCGCAGUAAUGCUCCUCGUUCUGGUCCGGCGCGCGCUCCGGCCGUAAAACCCCCAACUUCUUUAGUGGUUGACCUCGGAUCAGGUAGGAAUACCCGCUGAACUUAAGCAUAUCAAUAA
rnacentral:rRNA from 1 species